rnacentral:other from 1 species
UAAUUCCUGGAAUGCUCGACACUCUUACCAUUUUUGAACCUACAUUUUGACUAACGGGAUUCCAAUAUUUUUAAGCGGAUGUCAGGCCUCCUUUGAGUGGAAGGCAGAAGUUUAAGUGAGGUCACCCACCUAGCACGGCUAGGCGUCAAUACGGUAAGAACCGGCAUUUUGGGGUUACA